rnacentral:rRNA from 1 species
AUUGAACGCUGGCGGAAUGCUUUACACAUGCAAGUCGAACGGCAGCACGGGUGCUUGCACCUGGUGGCGAGUGGCGAACGGGUGAGUAAUACAUCGGAACGUGCCCAGUCGUGGGGGGAUAACACAGCGAAAGCUGUGCUAAUACCGCAUACGCACUAAGGUGGAAAGUGGGGGAUCUUCGGACCUCAUGCUCAUGGAGUGGCCGAUAUCUGAUUAGCUAGUUGGUGAGGUAAAGGCUCACCAAGGCGGCGAUCAGUAGCUGGUUUGAGAGAACGACCAGCCACACUGGAACUGAGACACGGUCCAGACUCCUACGGGAGGCAGCAGUGGGGAAUUUUGGACAAUGGGCGCAAGCCUGAUCCAGCCAUGCCGCGUGUGUGAAGAAGGCCUCGG